AACGAACGCUGGCGGCAUGCCUAACACAUGCAAGUCGAACGAGACCUUCGGGUCUAGUGGCGCACGGGUGCGUAACGCGUGGGAACCUGCCCUUAGGUUCGGAAUAACUCCCCGAAAGGGGUGCUAAUACCGGAUAAUGUCUUCGGACCAAAGAUUUAUCGCCUUUGGAUGGGCCCGCGUUGGAUUAGCUAGUUGGUAGGGUAAAAGCCUACCAAGGCGACGAUCCAUAGCUGGUCUGAGAGGAUGAUCAGUCACACUGGGACUGAGACACGGCCCAGACUCCUACGGGAGGCAGCAGUGGGGAAUAUUGGACAAUGGGCGAAAGACUGAGCCAGCAAUGCCGCGUGAGUGAUGAAGGCCUUAGGGUUGUAAAGCUCUUUUACCCGGGAUGAUAAUGACAGUACCGGGAGAAUAAGCGCCGGCUAACUCCGUG
rnacentral:rRNA from 1 species